rnacentral:lncRNA from 1 species
GUUCUGUUUGAAGUUGUAAUAAAUCUUAUUGUACUCCUUUCUUGCCAAUGUUUUCUCAUUAUUUUCAAAGCAAAAACACCUGGCUAUAAAUUAAAUAUAUAGGCAUUAUAGAGUAAAAGUUAAUUAGAUGAAACUAAUUAAAUUUGCCAUGUAUGGGUCAGUUUGACAAGUUUGAGAAGCUGGGUGUACUUAGAUGGUAAGGUAUACUUGUAGUUCCAUCCUGAUGUGAUGUGGAGGUUUGUGUCCUUAUUUUGUCUAAUAAUACAAAUUUGGAAUGAGAACAAGACACUCAAACUGAUUUCCAACAGGCAAACACUGAAGCAUAUCAGCUGCAGCAGAACCUGGAUCAUGGUAUUGGUCUGUCGAUUUACU